rnacentral:tRNA from 1 species
UAAAGGGAGACCUAAUUCCAGUAGGAGACGAAAAAAAAGUAGUCCCUACCAAGAAUCAAUCCCAAAAGGUCGGAGCGAGGCAAAAUUGGCUUUCAAACUAGGUUCUGGGUUCACACAAGACCUGAAUCAGGAACAAGGGCUAUUAGCUCAGGUGGUUAGAGCGCACCCCUGAUAAGGGUGAGGUCCCUGGUUCGAGUCCAGGAUGGCCCACCUGCACAGGUGGAAGAAAGAAAAGAAGCUCCGAAUCAGCACCUUAUCUUACUUAUAUAGUAGGAGAGAAUGCUGGCUCUGAGUACAGAGUCCAGAGGAACCUUGAAAACUGCAUAGAGCUAGGUGAAAAAGCCAAAAAAGAAGACCGCAA